GGGCAGUUACCAGAGUGGCCAAAUGGGGCAGACUGUAAAUCUGCUGGCUUACGCCUUCGGUGGUUCGAAUCCAUCACUGCCCACCA
rnacentral:tRNA from 1 species